rnacentral:rRNA from 2 species
AGACCCGAAACCCGGUGAUCUAGCCAUGGGCAGGUUGAAGGUUGGGUAACACUAACUGGAGGACCGAACCGACUAAUGUUGAAAAAUUAGCGGAUGACCUGUGGCUGGGGGUGAAAGGCCAAUCAAACCGGGAGAUAGCUGGUUCUCCCCGAAAGCUAUUUAGGUAGCGCCUCGUGAAUUCAUCUCCGGGGGUAGAGCACUGUUUCGGCUAGGGGGCCAUCCCGGCUUACCAACCCGAUGCAAACUGCGAAUACCGGAGAAUGUUAUCACGGGAGACACACGGCGGGUGCUAACGUCCGUCGUGAAGAGGGAAACAACCCAGACCGCCAGCUAAGGUCCCAAAGUCAUGGUUAAGUGGGAAACGAUGUGGGAAGGCCCAGACAGCCAGGAUGUUGGCUUAGAAGCAGCCAUCAUUUAAAGAAAGCGUAAUAGCUCACUGGUCGAGUCGGCCUGCGCGGAAGAUGUAACGGGGCUAAACCAUGCACCGAAGCUGCGGCAGCGAACGUAUCACCCAAGACAACUUUGCGGAGUUGACGAUUGACGGAGCGAAGCGACGUCAAAGCGUUCAUUAAAGUCGAGUUGGCUUAGGGAUACGUUCGUUGGGUAGGGGAGCGUUCUGUAAGCCUGUGAAGGUGGCCUGUGAGGGUUGCUGGAGGUAUCAGAAGUGCGAAUGCUGACAUAAGUAACGAUAAAGCGGGUGAAAAGCCCGCUCGCCGGAAGACCAAGGGUUCCUGUCCAACGUUAAUCGGGGCAGGGUGAGUCGACCCCUAAGGCGAGGCCGAAAGGCGUAGUCGAUGGGAAACGGGUUAAUAUUCCCGUACUUGGUGUUACUGCGAAGGGGGGACGGAGAAGGCUAUGUUGGCCGGGCGACGGUUGUCCCGGUUUAAGCGUGUAGGUGUGUGUUCCAGGUAAAUCCGGUU